UGGGAUUGUUUUUUCCUGUAAAUUUAAUUAGGCUCCUUAUAGAUACUGGAAAUUAGACCUUUUUCAGAUACAUAGUUUGCAAAAAUUUUUUCCCAUUUUGUAGGUUGUCUAGGCACUCUGAUGCGU